rnacentral:tRNA from 1 species
AAAAAAUUAGUUAAAUAUAAUAUGAUUUUGUCAAAAUCAAGUUACUUCAAUGGUAUUUUUUU